UAAAUUUGUUGUCUUUCUUAUACCAUAGGCAACCUUGUGGAAUGUCCACAAUUUUAACGGGGUAUUCUGUCUCCGGACAAUCAAAAGCCUUCAACGUGAAGUCCGUGGCUAACAAAAGGAAAAGAAUGAUGAAAAGAAGCGAUCAUAACCUACAUCUGUCUUGUUCCUGAUCACAACAUGAAGUCUUUCAAGGUUUCACCAUUAAUAUAAGAUUUGGAGGAAAAAACACACCCAGGAAUGAUAGUUUACAAAGAUCUUACUGUGUUCCAAAAAGUGUGCCAGCCCGGGUAGGUCAUCCGGAUCAGCAAAACUCCCAACUCCAACACAAAGAGCCGCAGCAGACUGGAAUUACGAUCAACUUCCUUCUGGGAGGAAGAAAAUGGAGGAGGAUAAAAAUGAAGACUCAGAAGAACAAUUCUUAAUUAGAUUAAAAACCAGGUGCGGACAAAGCAAAGAAGGUGACCGCCCACAAGUCAGAGAGGUCUCAGGUAAAAAAAAUCAAACCUACUAACAACUUGAUCUUGGACUUCUAACCUCCAGAAUUAUAAGAAAAUAAAUUUCUGUUGCUUAAGCCAUUCAGUCUGUGAUAGUCUGUUAUGGCGGCCCUGACAAACUAAUGCAAGGUCAUUUCCCUUUUCAAAAACCAUCAAUGGCUUCCCAUAAUGCUUAGAAUAAAAUCCCAAAUCCUUAUCAGGGCCUAGAAGGCUCCACAUAAUCUUAUCCCCCACUACUUCUCCAAUCUUCUUUCCUACCACUCUUCCAUCAUUCUUUUUGCUGAUUUUAGUUUCUGACUUUAUUGUUCUUUCUUGAAAUCUGUUCCAUCUCUUCUAAGUCUUUGCUAAAGUGUCCCCUGUUCAAAGAUGCCUUCCCUGACCACACUAUUUAACAUAGCACUCCAGUCAGUUCCUACCCUCCUUUUAUCCUGUUAACUUUUUUCACACCAUUUAACAUCACUUGUUUUUGUUUUCUGAUUUUUUCUGCCUGUACCUUUAGAAUGUUAGCUCUGAAGGCAUAGCUAUAUCCCCAGCACCUAAGACAAUGCUUGGCACUUUCAAACACUGAAGAAAUAUUUGUUGAAUGAACAAAAAAAUGUUAAUGCCUAUAGGGGGCCUGAUACACAAUAGGUACUUAAUAUCUGCUAAAUGAAACAAGAUUCUCAGGCAAUUUUAUAAAAAUAAGUAAAAUUAUGUGUACACAUAUACACAUUAAAUGUAUAUAAAGGUACAGCAAAAAAACUAAAAGAAUACAAACCAAAUGUAACACAAACAUAACUGAGAGGAAUAAAAGCAGAGCAAGAUACAAGAACUUUCUUGCUUUGCUCUAUAAUUUCUAUAUCUUUUCUAAUCUUUUAUAAUAAAAACAUAAUCAUUUAUUAUUUGUAUAGUAAAAAUCCAAAACCCACUCCUUAACAAACUAAGAACAUACACACACACAAAAAGCUCUUAGCUUUACAGAGAGUUAACUUCCAUAAAUCAACAUCAAAUCCAUCUAAAGACAGUCAUGGACAAAAUGCUCUUUAUCAUCACUUCUAUUCAAAACUAUAUUAGAAAUCCUAGUCAAUGAAAACAGA